ACAUGCCUGUGCCCUGGCCUAGAGCAAGGAAGGGAAAUCAGUGACGGCCAAUUAAUGGGGAGAAGAAAAAUGUGAAGAAUGAAAACGUGUGUGUGUGUGAGAGCGAGCGAGCGAGCGAGCAAGAAAAAGCCCAAGAGGAAAGUCCAUCAACCACCAGGUCCAGGAAGACGAAAACCCUGAUCAGAUGCAGAAGGUUGUGGUAGUAAGUGGUAAGCUGCCCAUUCCUCCUGGGAUGACCAAAAGAUCUCCAAAAA